AUCGCUUCAUGGAUCUCUAGGCUAAGAUCAUGUUUGGUCGCUGUUCUUUGCAGUGUAAUUUCUGCAACGGUUAUAAUUUGGGACCAGUCAAAUUAUCCGUUUUUUUCAACCAAGACGAGUGCUAUGAGCUUGGUUAACCCUAUCUACAGGUCGGCCCUGUAUUGCAUUGCCUCGAGGAUUGGUCCCUUCAUU
rnacentral:snRNA from 1 species